AUGCUCAGCCAUGCCCACCCUGAAUUGACCCAAUAUUAUUUGAUCUUGGAAAUUAAGCAGGGUUGGGCCUAGUUAGUACUGGGGUGGGAGAAAUGAUAUGUCUUCUUGAUGAAAAGGUCUAGUGAAGCUUAUU
ensembl:rRNA 5S_rRNA 5S ribosomal RNA